rnacentral:misc_RNA from 1 species
GGUGGACCUUGUAUGGUGAAUUGAAGGAGUGAGAACGAGUUCACAUGAGCAAUUGGACUUGCAAUACUCCAAAUAUGCGGUUGGGCAAUAAUAUUCUGCAUCAUCUGAUAAAUCACAAAAUUUAGAACAGAAUAAAGUUUGAUUGUAAGAAUUAGGAAACAGCUUUCUGAAUUGCAAAGCCAUCACAGAGGAAUAGGAAGGAUUGCAAUCUUGGAUGUGAAAAAUAAGAAAAGUAUUAGGGGUAAAAAGAGAGGAAAGCUUGGUCAGGUUCUGGCAGGCAAG